AUGCAAGUCGAGCGGAAACGAAGAGGUGCUUGCACCUCUGGCGUCGAGCGGCGGACGGGUGAGUAAUGCUUGGGAAUAUGCCUUAUGGUGGGGGACAACAGUUGGAAACGACUGCUAAUACCGCAUGAUGUCUACGGACCAAAGUGGGGGACCUUCGGGCCUCACGCCAUAAGAUUAGCCCAAGUGGGAUUAGCCAGUUGGUGAGGUAAUGGCUCACCAAGGCGACGAUCCCUAGCUGGUUUGAGAGGAUGAUCAGCCACACUGGGACUGAGACACGGCCCAGACUCCUACGGGAGGCAGCAGUGGGGAAUAUUGCACAAUGGGCGCAAGCCUGAUGCAGCCAUGCCGCGUGUGUGAAGAAGGCCUUCGGGUUGUAAAGCACUUUCAGUAAGGAGGAAAGGUUAAGUGUUAAUAGCACUUAGCUGUGACGUUACUUACAGAAGAAGCACCGGCUAACUCCGUGCCAGCAGCCGCGGUAAUACGGAGGGUGCGAGCGUUAAUCGGAAUUACUGCGCGUAAAGCGUACGCAGGCGGUUUGUUAAGCGAGAUGUGAAAGCCCCGGGCU
rnacentral:rRNA from 1 species